GUGCAGUCCAGGCUUGACACUUUCUUUCACAAGUCUCCAGUACCACCACCUCCCACUCCUAGUCCUGGUAAGGAAUUCUGAACUGUUUUACUAAUUUAUGUGUUUACAUAGUGUACAUAUUAAAAUGUGUUAAUUUUUUAAUGUAACAACUAAAUGUAAGAGUAAAUUGUAACUUCAUUAAUUUUCAUCAUUUGUAAUUUUAUUGCAGAAGUGGUGACAGUUCCAGAUCCCCCUGUACUACCUGUGACAGUUCCAGAUCUCCCUGUACUACCUGUGACAGUUCCAGAUCUCCCUGUACUACCUGUGACAGUUCCAGAUCCCCCUGUACCUGGACCCUCUGUAUCAGCCCGCCCACCUGUACGUGUACAAUCAGACCCCUUUGAUAGUGACAGUGACCCAGAUGACCCUGAGCCUUUCCAUGGUUUUGAUGCCUCGCCCUAUACAUCAGAUGUAGAUGUUCCCUCAUCAGUUGAUACGAGUAUCACCUCUCCAGAGCCCAAAUCAGUUGAUACGAGUAGUAUCACC